CCCUUAGAUGUUCUGGGCCGCACGCGCGCUACAAUGAUGAAUUCAACGAGUUUAUAACCUUGGUUGAAAAGCCUGGGUAAUCUUUUGAACUUUCGUCGUGAUGGGGCUAGACCCUUGCAAUUAUUGGUCUCCAACGAGGAAUUCCUAGUAAACGCAAGUCAUCAGCUUGCAUUGAUUACGUCCCUGCCCUUUGUACACACCGCCCGUCGCUCCUACCGAUUGAAUGAUCCGAUGAAUACCAUGGAUUGAGAGUACGAAUAGGUUCGCUUAUUUCUGCUGCUCGAGAAGUGGAGUAAAUCUUAUCAUUUAGAGGAAGGAGAAGUCGUAACA
rnacentral:rRNA from 1 species